rnacentral:lncRNA from 1 species
AUAUAUAUAUAUAUAUAUAGAGAGAGAGAGAGAGAGAGAGAGAGAGAGAGAGAGAGAGAGCAGCACCAGCUAAAUUAAAUGCUAGUCGACGUGGUGCCACCACCAGAACAUGACAUCCCAGGAAUAAUGCUGUCAGCUUUCUUGGAAGGCCGAUACGAGAAAGCUACUGCUGUCAGCUUUCUUGGAAGGCCGAUACGAGAAAGCAACACGAGAGAGAUGGCAACAUCUACAAAAGUGUUCGACGAAUUGCCGGUAGGUCUCCUGGUGAUGGUAUCCUUCAGAGCCGAGUUAAAUCUGGGAGAAAAUGGUACCUACUUGGGUCGAUUCUUGAGUUCAGCAACACAAAAGCAACCGGGCCGUACACGAUCAUCAUCGGUAGCGUACAUGUUACAGAAGUUUUAGCAGUCGUUUUUGGAUGGAAAGAAAUGGCAAUCUUCUUCUUCCUCCGGAAUCUGCUUUCGGUGUGCGUUGGACUGCGUACCACUAAUACAGGGACAAGAUUGCUCAGUUUUCUCCGGAAAAAGAUUAUAGUGCGGUGUGAUCCCUGAGUGGGCCUUCGGGAUAAGAAG